AUUGAACGCUAGCGGGAUGCUUUACACAUGCAAGUCGAACGAGUGGAGGACGGGAGAGUAAUAUAUCGGAACGUGCCCAGUAGCGGGGGAUAACUACUCGAAAGAGUGGCUAAUACCGCCUACUAUUGGAGCGGGCGAUAUCGGAUUGGCGUGGUGGUGGGGUAAAGGCUCACCAAGGCAACGAUCCGUAGCUGUUUUGAGAGGACGACCAGCCACACUGGGACUGAGACACGGCCCAGACUCCUACGGUAGGCAGCAGUGGGGAAUUUUGGACAAUGGGGGAAACCCUGAUCCAGCCAUCCCGCGUGUAUGAGAAGGCCUUCGGGUUGUAAAGUACUUUUGGCAGAGAAGCGGUAUCUGCAGAAUAAGCACCGGCUAACUACGUGCCAGCAGCCGCGGUAAUAC
rnacentral:rRNA from 1 species